AGGGGGCAAGGGGCCUGUCCCUAUGCGGAGCGGGGUGCUCGGGGUCCCAGGAGGGUGUGCCUGUUGCCAGCGAAGUGCGGGAGGUGUCUCUUAGGGGUGGCUCCUCGCGGACCCGGGGCCACUCUGCCGGGCUUCAGCGGCAAAUACUCUUAGAGGGCAGUGCCCCUGCGCCUGCUCCCUGCAGGGUCCGGCCAGGCCUCCUUCCAGGGAUGAAGAACAGGAUGUACCUUCUCCCCUGCCCUCUCCCGGGGGAAUUCUAGGGACCUCCAAUUGUGUCCGGGGUGAUAAUAGAACCUGUUUGGUGGCUGUACCCCAGGCAGGACUCUGGAGGCCGGUUUAGUGCAUCAGGAGUGCUUCUGCGCUUCAGCGUGGGAUCUUUCAGUGCCUCGAGAUCUUGGGCUUUAUUCUGAGGUUCCCUUGCAUUGCUAAGUUGUCUUGUCCUCCCCUCAUUUCCCCUGCUGGAGAAAGGUCCUCUCUGGAGGAGGGCAGAGGCUGGUUAGUGGGUUUCCUUCAUUCCUCCUAGAGACCAAGCCUGAAUCUGAGCACGGGGCUCUCUGGGAGUUGGACCUGGUGGAGCAUCUGGGGGCCGAUCAAAGUCAGCUGUUGUGAGCUGCAUCCCAUGGGCUUUUGUGUUGGGACACCACUUGUCUGCCCUCAGAAGCCUGAGGAAGUAUGAUUCUCCAACUUGGCAGGUGGGAUGCUAUGGAAUAUGAUGAGAAGCUGGCCCGGUUCCGGCAGGCCCACCUCAACCCCUUCAACAAGGAGAUUGGGCCAAGGCAGCAUGAGCAGAGGGCCAGUGAGGAGACCUCAGAAGUCACUUCUGAAGAGGCCCUGCCUGAGCUGCCCUCUGGAGAGCCAGAAUUCUGCUGCACUGAACGAGUGAUGGAUCUUGGCUUAUCUGAGGACCACUUCUCCCGCCCUGUGGGUCUGUUCCUGGCUUCUGACAUCCAGCAGCUGCGGCAGGCUAUCGAGGAAUGCAAGCAGGUGAUUCUGGAGCUGCCUGAACACUCAGAGAAGCAGAAGGAUGCCGUAGUUAGGCUCAUACACCUCCGGCUGAAGCUCCAGGAGCUGAAGGACCCCAAUGAAGAUGAGCCCAAUAUCCGAGUCCUCCUGGAGCACCGUUUCUACAAGGAGAAGAGCAAGAGUGUCAAGCAAACCUGUGACAAGUGUAACACCAUUAUCUGGGGACUCAUUCAGACCUGGUACACCUGCACAGGAUGUUAUUACCGAUGUCACAGCAAGUGCUUGAACCUUAUCUCCAAGCCCUGUGUGCGCUCCAAAGUCAGCCACCAAGCCGAAUAUGAGCUGAACAUCUGCCCCGAGACAGGGCUGGACAGCCAAGAUUACCGUUGCGCAGAGUGCCGGGCACCCAUCUCUCUGCGGGGCGUGCCCAGUGAGGCCCGGCAGUGUGACUAUACUGGCCAGUACUACUGCAGCCAUUGCCACUGGAAUGACCUGGCUGUCAUCCCUGCGAGAGUCGUGCACAACUGGGACUUUGAGCCACGCAAGGUAUCCCGCUGUAGCAUGCGCUACCUGGCACUGAUGGUGUCUCGGCCAGUUCUCAGGCUCAGGGAGAUCAACCCUCUGCUGUUCAACUACGUGGAGGAGCUGGUAGAGAUCCGGAAGCUGCGCCAGGACAUCCUGCUUAUGAAGCCAUACUUCAUUACUUGCAAGGAGGCCAUGGAGGCACGUCUGCUCCUGCAGCUCCAGGACCGGCAACAUUUUGUGGAGAACGAUGAGAUGUACUCCAUCCAGGACCUGCUGGACGCGCACACAGGCCGCCUCGGCUGCUCGCUCACGGAGACCCACACACUCUUCGCCAAGCACAUCAAGCUGGAUUGUGAGCGCUGUCAGGCCAAGGGCUUUGUGUGUGAGCUCUGCAGAGAGGGUGACGUACUGUUCCCGUUCGACAGCCACACAUCUGUGUGCACCGAGUGCUCUGCCGUCUUCCACAGGCUCCUGUUCCAGUUGCAUCAGCUCCUCAUUUGAAAGAUCUUCCUCGUGGGACCUCAGCAACUGGUCCACAUCAGCUUCUACAACCUCUUCAAAAGCCACAUUCUUGGCGAGGGUCACAAUGUUUUGUUGAAGCUGUGCAAUGUCAUCUGUUUGGGAAACACUAUGGAACUGAACACACUCAGGCCAAAUCUUCUUCCACACACUGUUCAUUGUUGCUGGUCUGAGCUCCUCCCAAGCUACUGCAAUGUUGUCUAUGGCAUCCAAGAUACUGUACUUACUCCAAAACUCCCUGAUCGUGGCUGUAUCUUCUCCAUCUGUUGCUUCUAGGAUGUGCUCAAAGGUUCUUCUCAAGUAAUGAGCUUUGAAGGUAGAGGCUAUGCCUUGACCCAUGGGCUGGAUUGAGUCAGCUGUACUGUCAUGAAGAUAUUCCACUCUUACAUUAUCAGACAGAUCACUCAAAUUUACUGGGUGGCAUGGUGCAUUGUCUAGGAUGAGCAAUGCUUUAUUGGUGAGAUUAUUUUGGGCACAGUAUUUUUCAACAGCAGGGCAAAAAAAGUAUGUGAACCAUUCCUGAAAGAUGCUCCUGGUCACCCACGCCUUUUUGUUUGACCGCCAAAUCACAGGCAAAUUGGGCUUGGAGUACCCUUUCAGAGCCUUGGGAUUUUCCAAGUGGUACACCAAUAAGGGUUUCAGCUUAAAGUCCCCAGCUGCAUUGCCACCAAGAAGCAGCAUCAAGCGAUCUUUGGAAGAUUUAAAGCCUGGCUUAGCUUUCUCUUCCAUAGAAAUAAACAUUCCCUCUGGCAUUCUCUUCCAAUAAAGCCCUGUCUCAUCUACAUUAAAAACUUGCUGAGAGGUGUACUCACCUUCUUCAAUGAUGCUUCUCAGCAUUUCUGGAUAUACAUCCUUGUUUCCAGGAGCUGCACUGUUCAUCUUGAAGUGGAGCAGACAAUGGCGCUCCUUGAAUCUCACAAACCACCCUUUGCUUGCACUAAACUUUUCUGUUUGAGAGCUUCCACCUCUUUCACGCUGUAAGUCAUCAAACAAACUCUUAGCCUUCUCCUGUAUAAUGGUGACACUCAGGGGCACAUUCCUCUGGCUCUGGUCUUCAAGCCACACGUGCAGCAGGCGCUCCAUGGUCUCCAUGAGUGCACUUCGAUGGCGUGUCAACCGAGAGGCUCUCAAGGGAGUAGCUAUUUGUGAGUUCGCUUUGAUUUUUUCUUUAUUAUCUCGGAUUGUGGCUACCGUCGAGACAGCAAGGCCUAAGGCUUUUGCGAUCUGGCUGAGCUUUUCACCCACUUCAAAUCGUCUUAACACUUCCAAUUUUAGGUCGAGGGUAAUUGCUUUCCGUUCCCUUUUGGUACCUGGGAUGACCGAUGCAUUUAGGGACCUUUUCCCAGGCAUCUUUGCCUCCAAGCUGUAAUAAAAUCACAGCAGUCUCACGUGCAAGAAGGCGCGUAGCUACUCUAUGCUCCCCUGCAAAACCUGGGAGAGAAACCGGGGCUGCCGGCAGGCGCAGGCAGGAGACGUGAGAAGGUCACCAAAGGCCGUCCUGGCCCCCUUUCUCAGAAACGGUGGCUUAUUCCCGAUUCGAAAGCAGACAGCAUGGGCCUCUGAUGUCAGAGUUUCCAAUCUCCGACAGCACAUCUGCAGGGACAUUAAAACCGGCGUGGGUCGCCGUGAUCCAGAAAAACAACAAAGCCCCGUGAAGGGGCAACAACGCUGCAGAGCACACGCCGAGUCGGUGUCUUUGUGGAGGAGGGGCAGGAAAGCGGCAGUUCCGCCGGGGGGCGGCUCCUGAGGGGCACCGCAGCCGGCGGGCGGAGGGGGGUGGCGUCCGGGCGGGGCGGCCGGUUGGGGCGGGGGACGGAGCACUUCCGUGAGCCGCUUCCCUUGGAGGACCCGGGAGAUGUGUCCUUGGAGGUGCCCGACUUAAAGGAGGUGUAGAGGCGCUGGGUGUCCUCGCGGCAUCUAGCCCGCGGCGGCCGCCGGGGGUUCUGUGCUGUAGGGAAGACCGCGCGCGCGUUCCGAUCCCUAAAAAGUCCGAGGCUGCGGCGGAUAGUCCCAGAGCGGUCCCCAGCCCGCGCCGCGUCCGUACUGCGCACGCGCGACGCCGCCGGAGCCCGCGGGGACCCCCUCGGGGACCCCCUCGGGGGUGUGGCGCCACUAGGAAGGGUUUGUCGUUAUUUUGCGCGUGCGCGCGCCCGAGCGCCAGAGCUGCGUGAGGUCUGGGGCCGGGAGUGUCUCAUCGGCUGGUGGCGGCGCCAGGGCCGCUGGUCGUGCUCCGGAGAUGCGGCGGUGGCCCGGGAGGCGGCAGGACGGCCAGGACAGGCGCGAGCGCCCUCGGAACAGCCCGGCAGUGCCUCCAGGGGAUUGCAUUCAGCUGCUGGCUCUUCUGGGGAAGACAGACAUCAUUUUCUCAGUGGCUAUGUUCAAAACCACCCAAAGGAACUGGUGAGCCAAAAGAAUGCUGGACCUGGAGCAGAUGGAGGCAAGAGAGGGGAAAGCAGAGAGACUUUGCCUGGUUGAGACAGAUACAGAAGAGAGGCCCUUGCUCACUACAGGGAAGGGGAAUGGCAGCUGCCAGCCUUGUCUCCCGAGGACCUGCCUUCUGAAGGAGAGGGAAAGGGUGGACUGGCUGGAAGUCGUUAACAGUUGGUGUGUGUGUGAUCCAUCCCUGGCGCUGGGAUGGUGUCUGAGAAGAAUGCCUCUCCUGGUUUCACUACCCAAUAGCAACCCGUGUGAAGGUGAUCAUUUACCAUGUUGCAGCACCGUUGACACCUUUGAGCGGAACCUGGAUACUGUUCACUGGGAGCUGGGCAUCGUUCCCCCUAAGCAGGCAUCAAUGGUCUACACCACUGAGAGUGACAGGGCCCCCCAUCAUCACAGGCAGGUCCACCAUCUUCACGGUCUACCUGCACCCACUGAAGCUGGAUGAGAGCCUCUGUAAGGACACCUUGGCAAGAAAGCUCACCUCACUCCCUUUGGGCUUCAUGGAUUGUGCAGUUUGGGAUCACCAAAAAGCUGGGCCAGGUGUCCUUUGACUUCCCCCAACAAGAUGAGAUGAUGGUGGAGGAGCCAUACAUUGAAGCCACUGCCCAGCUCAUUGAUAAGGAGGUACAGCACUUCAUCAGCCCUGCCUCUGAGUAGACACUGGACCUGCUGACCCGGUGCUGAGAGCAGGUGGACAAGCUCACUGCCUCCCAGAGUCACGAGAGUCUCCAGUAGAGAAGUGUCAGCCACUGUCUUCGGGCUGAUGGUACAGCCAAGGCCCACAGAACCAGAGCUGUAAGGUCUCAGCAGCAGCAGCAGCACCCACCUCCACACGCCUGUCAGUGUGUUUGAACAGGAUAUGGACCCCACCCUCCAUUUCCCAGGGUGCUCCUGGUCUCUGUGGAGCAUGUGCCGGGCAGAUCAGCUGUACUUACGCCUCCUCUCUGUGACCUGUAGGAGCCCUGGGGCUGGUAUUGGGAUGCCAACCUCUUCCUCGGCUGCGGGCGAGUGGCAGCUGUCCCCUGUCCCAUGGGCCACGGUGCCCAGGGCUGCCUGUGGCACCUCAACCUCCUUAACUAUUUCUGCAACAAAGACAGAAGGUGUUACCUGGGAGGAGAGAGAUGAGAACAGGAGGUCCUGUGGGCAAUCUGCUUGGUAGAGACUGGCACUCAGAGAUGGGACCCCUGCCCCUUCUAGCACCAACCCCAACCCUUGUUGUUUGGGCCAACAUCUUGUCCUCUUAGCUCACAUCGCUCCAUCCAAAUCUGUCAGUUCCUCCAGAAUGUUUCAGAUCCCUUGGUUCCCUCAGUGUCCCCAUUGGGCAACCAGUGUUGACAGCUACCUGCCAGGGGUGGGUUUCUCCUCAACAGUGCAGUCAGCAGCCAGGAUACCACCCAGGUCCUGUGUCUAAAGAGUCUCCAGCUCAGGGGGAUAAUAAACCAUCCAUUCACAGCUGUAGAGCUGGCUAGGCAGCAUCUGGCCUCCUCUAGGAGGGUACCACCUUCCCUGGGAGGUGUGGCUAAGGGAAGAUGGGCCUGGGGACCCGCCCAUGCUAUGUCAUCACGUGGGGUUUGGCGCUGACCAGAUUGGAUGGGGGCUCAGACAAUCUGGUUUCCACCUCUCUGAUGCAUUUGGAAUGGGGCUUCUGAGUAUCCUUGGAGGGUAGAGUUACACCCACUAGUGUCCUGGCCCCCCAGCCCAGCAAAGAUACCUUUCCACCCAGAGGGCAUGAGAGAUGUAAUUCAGAACUUGCUCUGACCUGGGGUGAGGAGGGACGCCUGCCUUGAGCUUCUGACCAACCAUCUGAGAAUACCUGUCAAGAGUCGUCAAGGAGCUUUUCCUCUGUGGGACACUGCUUUCCUUGAGUGGGGAAGUACAGCACAGCACCCUGGUCCCUCUGAGGGUGUAUGAUGGGCUCACAUCAUGCUGGCCUAUGCCGUCCUAAUUCUGAGACCCUUCCAUACACAUGGCUCGUGGUGAUAGGUGAAGCAGGGGGACAAUGGUAGGGGACACAUAUCAUCAGAACUUUGGCUGCUACUCUGAGUGAGCUGGGAGAAGGUGCUGAAGGGUUUUAAGCUGAAUAGGACAAUAUCUACUUCCAUUGUUUUAUGAGAUGCAGGUUAGGUGGAAGUUCAUUGUUGAGACAGUACAGGUUGAGGGACAAGCAUCAUUAUAGAUGUUGGGGUCCAGGGGUCUCAGACAGACUAGCCUGUUGGACUAACUAUAAGAAGCACAUUUUGACAAAUGUCAACAUCCUUGAAAGAGCAAAGCAUCUACUGUCAAUGGCAUCAUAGAGUCAACAGAAUAUAGGAGCCCUGAAUGUUUGAAGUCACCAGGUGUUUAGUCUUUUAUUCCUUUCCAUCUCCCUUGGCAGUGGUCUGUACUCUGUAAACUGUGGGUCCCUGGUCUGUGUCAAAGCUACAGGGUGGAGAGAAAAAGCUGAAGAUGGAAUUUUUGUUAUCAAGGACACCGAUCUUUUGUCUGGAAGAAUGUGAUAAGGAUUAAGAGUCACAUGCCAGGGCAGAAGAUGCCAGGGACAGAGGAGGUUCUGAGCCCCCAGGAAGGAGCAUGGAUUGAUGUUGGCAUGUAAAGCCAUUGUAGAAGAUGGCUCAGUGGUUCCUCCAAUUACUACAUGUAGAGAGUCCCCACACAACCCAGCAGUUCCACUCCUAUGCUUACAACCAGAAGAAUUGAAAGCACCGAUCCACACACACAACUUGCAUGUGAAUGUUCAUUGAAGUAUUAUCCACAGUAGUCAAAAGUGGAAUCAAAGCCAAAUGUCCAUGAACGGAUGAUGGAUAAACAAAAUGUGGUCCUUUCACACAAGGGGAUAUUAUUCAGCCAUAAAAAAAGAAAGCACUAAUACAGGCUGCACCAUGGAUGAGCUUUGAAAACAUGGUAACUGCAAGAAGCCAGUCACAAAAGGCCAUGUAUUAUAAUAUUUAUAUAAAAUGUCCAGAAUGGGCAAAUCCAUAGAGUAGAAAAGUAGAUUAGAAAAGACAUAGACAGUAGAUAGACCAUGGUUUCCAAGAGCUGGGGUAUGUGUGGAAUAGGGGAUGACUAAUGUGUAUGGGAUUGCUUUUCAGAUUAAUGAAAAUAUUCUAAAAGUAGAGGUGGUCUCACAAUUUUGCAAAUAUACUAAAAACACCGAA